UAUUGCAGAACUUCAGUUUAUCCAAAUUUUUGCUGAAAAGUCGAUUGACGUUUAUAGCGCCACUACAUUUGUUGAUUCUUUCAUCUAUACUCUAGUUUUUUCUGUCACAGUUAUCUAUAUGUCCUUAGCGUAAAUUGACACAAUUAUGAACCAUAUAAAUCUAUGAUUUUUGUGCAUCUAGAAUCUUGUCCUCUUGCGCUCUUGCCAUUUUGUAUUAGAAACGACGCUUCGUCGCCAUUUUUAAAUUUUGUAAUUUUCUUGCUUUUCGAUUGACGAUAAAUAAUAGUUGAAGAUUGAAGAGUUCAUUUUGAUGCUAUUGUAAAACGCGGUCUGCUACGGUGUUGUAGCUGUUAACUUUUUAUCGUGAAGGAGUUGUAGUUAAUUAAGAAACAUUAAAACUGGACGGCAUUAAAGUAGUAAUUAUAUCAGUCCUCAUUCACUCCAGAGCAUAGGUGUACAUAUGGUGCUGUAGCAAAGAUGAAGUGCCUUUUUUUAAUUGAAAAUGGAGGCAGUGUGCCAUUGCUAAAGGGAAGAUUUAUUACAAUAAACAAAUGAACUGACUGCCAAACAAAUGAGAUGGAGUUAUAAUUAAUUUUGAUGUUACUGAAACCACCAGUGCUUUUGAUGUCUUCACAUAAUGCAGUUAAUUUUGAGCAUGUGAGAGAGAAGUAACUGUAAAUUAAUUUGGAAACUGCUGAAACAACAGAUUUGUCUGCCGUGGUAGUCCUCGUGGAUUUGGCUACAGUUGAUUAAGAUUGCCCAACGAAUGAGAGAAUUUCAAUUCUGUUUGGUCCUACUGAAACAACUAAUGUCUACAUGGGUGUGGUCUUUCAUGAACUAUAUUCUUGAUUUGCUGUUUUUGUCUUCGCCUUCCAACAUUAUGCAGUCAAUUUUCAACCGACGAGUGAGAGCAACUGGAGAUUUAUUCCAAUUCCACUGAAACAACAAAUUUUCUGCUAUGGUAUUUCUCCUGAAGUUG
rnacentral:lncRNA from 1 species